rnacentral:rRNA from 1 species
UUAUCGAGUUUGAACGACGUCUGCGGGUCAAUUCUUAGUUCCCAAGAGGUUUAGGUUUGUUGUACCUGUCGUUCGGCCUGCACGGAGGUGACUUUUGAUUAAGUCUACUGGCAGGUUGCAUACAACGUGGUGGUCUACAGAGUCGUAGCGGAAGACUGCUACACUACGUAUGACUACACGGCUGGCUUUUCAAGACUGCGGCCCUUCUUUCCACGUCGUCGAUUUCGAUGUUCAGUAAGGUGUGGCGGCGACUUCCAUAGUUCGUCGUGUUUUGUUUUGUUGGGUUGGAUCUGUUCCAAGGUUUAAUAAGAGUCGCCACUUAAGUCCUAAGUGUAUAUAUAAAAUUAGGAGAGCACACCUACCUACUUCUUCUUCUUGUUCCACUAUGCAUAUGACUUAUGAGAUUAUCACACAUUCUUCAAUUCUCCACCUUGUCUUUAUACAUAGUUAGAUAACGUACAAAUAUCAAACAUGAAGGAAACCACCUAAACAAGUGACGGAAUUCAACCAUACAACCAUAACAUAACUUAAGUGUACAUGAUUAUUUAAACCUAACAUGACUCAAAUAGAAGAAAAAACGGUACCUUAAUUAACAUACAAAAAGAAGAGUUUGAACACUUAAAAUAGAACUCGGUCAGUUAUGUAUUUAAAAUAUUCGGGGAGUAGUCUAUUUGUUCAUUAGAUAGUGUAACUGGAGUUUGUUUAACUUAUGUAAAAGUACCUUUAAAUACAUCAUUAUGUUUGUAAAACCCCCCAACCCUUUUUAUUGUCCACUGGGUACCACCCUGGUCGAUGGUUAAUAUGAUCAGUUUUAUUGUGGACCUUAAUAAGUUUCCUUAAAGUUUAAACGGUUUUACAUAGAUUUAAAUUCCUUAAGCUCGUUUGAAAGAUUAAUAAAAAAAACAUUUAUGUCCAGCAAAAAGAAGAGAUCCCCCUUCACCCUGUACAUCUCGACCAAUGACCUCUUAUGCGGUUCACUUUUUAGAGAUUCAUUAUGUUGUUCUUUAAGGAACGUGUUACGUGCGUAUACGGUACAGCGUGACAAACACUCACCGAGAAAGUACGACUGCCUACCCAGGCACUCCAGCCCGUUCCUAAGAGCCCUUGAGACGGUCUUCCUAAUAAAAACGAAGUAUAACUAUAAACAAGCAGACAUGGCUUCGAGAGGAAUUAAUAUUCCUCGGUUAAUCGCUCUUGUGUUGAUUGAGUGGUGUAUUUACUCAAUCUUUCAACUUGACCCUAGCUAAAUUACUUUAUUACUAACGGCCACUAUCUCGUUAUAAUAGCAACGGAACCAAUGUCAUCUUUUUGUCCGUACGUAUAGUCAU